ACCAGACUCCUACGGGAGGCAGCAGUGGGGAAUAUUGCACAAUGGGGGGAACCCUGAUGCAGCGACGCCGCGUGGGCGAGGAAGUAUUUCGGUAUGUAAAGCCCUAUCGGCAGGGAAGAAGAAAUGACGGUACCUGAAUAAGAAGCACCGGCUAAAUACGUGCCAGCAGCCGCGGUAAUACGUAUGGUGCAAGCGUUAUCCGGAUUUACUGGGCGUAAAGGGAGCGCAGGCGGCGCGCCAAGUCUGAUGUGAAACCCCGGGGCUCAACCCCGGGCAUGCAUUGGAAACUGGCGGGCUGGAGUGCCGGAGAGGUAAGCGGAAUUCCUAGUGUAGCGGUGAAAUGCGUAGAUAUUAGGAGGAACACCAGUGGCGAAGGCGGUCUGCUGGACAGCAACUGACGCUGAGGCGCGAAAGCGUGGGGAGCAAACAGGAUUAGAUACCCUAGUA
rnacentral:rRNA from 1 species